rnacentral:tRNA from 1 species
GUCGAUGUAGUAUAGUGGUGAGUAUUUCCGCCUGUCACGCGGACGACCCGGGUUCGAUCCCCGGCAACGGCG